ACGAACGCUGGCGGCGUGCUUAACACAUGCCAGUCGAGCGGAAAGGCCACUUCGGUGGUCCUCGAGCGGCGAACGGGUGAGUAACACGUGAGUAAUCUGCCCCUCACUUUGGGAUAGCCACCGGAAACGGUGAUUAAUACCGGAUAUGACCAUAUGUCGCAUGGCGUGUGGUGGAAAGUUUUUCGGUGAGGGAUGUGCUCGCGGCCUAUCAGCUUGAUGGUGAGGUAAUGGCUCACCAUGGCUUCGACGGGUAGCCGGCCUGAGAGGGUGACCGGUCACACUGGGACUGAGACACGGCCCAGACUCCUACGGGAGGCAGCAGUGGGGAAUAUUGGACAAUGGGCGGAAGCCUGAUCCAGCAACGCCGCGUGAGGGAUGACGGCCUUCGGGUUGUAAACCUCUUUCAGUACCGACGAAGCGCAAGUGACGGUAGGUACAGAAGAAGCACCGGCCAACUACGU
rnacentral:rRNA from 1 species